GAUGAACGCUGGCGGCGUGCCUAAUACAUGCAAGUCGAGCGAACAGACGAGGAGCUUGCUCCUCUGACGUUAGCGGCGGACGGGUGAGUAACACGUGGAUAACCUACCUAUAAGACUGGGAUAACUUCGGGAAACCGGAGCUAAUACCGGAUAAUAUAUUGAACCGCAUGGUUCAAUAGUGAAAGACGGUUUUGCUGUCACUUAUAGAUGGAUCCGCGCCGCAUUAGCUAGUUGGUAAGGUAACGGCUUACCAAGGCAACGAUGCGUAGCCGACCUGAGAGGGUGAUCGGCCACACUGGAACUGAGCCACGGUCAAGACUCCUACGGGAGGCAGCAGUAGGGAAUCUUCCGCAAUGGGCGAAAGCCUGACGGAGCAACGCCGAGUGAGUGAUGAAGGUCUUCGGAUCGUAAAACUCUGUUAUUAGGGAAGAACAAAUGUGUAAGUAACUAUGCACGUCUUGACGGUACCUAAUCAGAAAGCCACGGCUAACUACGUG
rnacentral:rRNA from 1 species